GGGCCCGUACCCCAGCAGGCCAGAGGGAGCCGUUUUAGGGGCGGCGUGUCGUGGGUUCGAGUCCCACCGGGCCCAC
rnacentral:tRNA from 2 species